UACGGGGGGAGCAAGCGUUGUUCGGAUUUACUGGGCGUAAAGGGCGCGUAGGCGGCCAGCACAAGUCAGUUGUGAAAUCUCCGAGCUUAACUCGGAAAGGUCAACUGAUACUGUGCGGCUAGAGUGCGGAAGGGGCAACUGGAAUUCUUGGUGUAGCGGUGAAAUGCGUAGAUAUCAGGAGGAAUACCAGCGGCGAAGGCGGCGCUCUGGGCCGGUACUGACGCUGAGGAGCGAAAGCGUGGGAGCAAACAGGAU
rnacentral:rRNA from 1 species